CCUACGGGGCGCAGCAGUGGGGAAUAUUGCACAAUGGGGGAAACCCUGAUGCAGCGACGCCGCGUGAGUGAAGAAGUAUCUCGGUACGUAAAGCUCUAUCAGCAGGGAAGAAAAAAAGUCUUUGGCUUUGGACGGUACCUGACUAAGAAGCCCCGGCUAACUACGUGCCAGCAGCCGCGGUAAUACGUAGGGGGCAAGCGUUAUCCGGAUUUACUGGGUGUAAAGGGAGCGUAGACGGCCAGACAAGUCUGAAGUGAAAAUCCAGCGCUUAACGUUGGAAGUGCUUUGGAAACUGCCGGGCUAGA
rnacentral:rRNA from 1 species